UCGGAUUGGAGUCUGCAACCCGACUCCAUGAAGCUGGAUUCGCUAGUAAUCGCGCAUCAGCCACGGCGCGGUGAAUACGUUCCCGGGCCUUGUACACACCGCCCGUCAAGCCAUGGAAGCCGGGAGUGCCUGAAGUGCGUGACCGCAAGGAGCGUCCUAAGGCAAUACCGGUGACUGGGGCUAAGUCGUAACAAGGUACC
rnacentral:rRNA from 1 species